GAUGAACGCUGGCGGCGUGCCUAAUACAUGCAAGUCGAGCGAACGGAUGAGAAGCUUGCUUCUCUGAUGUUAGCGGCGGACGGGUGAGUAACACGUGGAUAACCUACCUAUAAGACUGGGAUAACUUCGGGAAACCGGAGCUAAUACCGGAUAAUAUUUUGAACCGCAUGGUUCUAAAGUGAAAGACGGUCUUGCUGUCACUUAUAGAUGGAUCCGCGCUGGAUUAGCUAGUUGGUAAGGUAACGGCUUACCAAGGCAACGAUGCAUAGCCGACCUGAGAGGGUGAUCGGCCACACUGGAACUGAGACACGGUCCAGACUCCUACGGGAGGCAGCAGUAGGGAAUCUUCCGCAAUGGGCGAAAGCCUGACGGAGCAACGCCGCGUGAGUGAUGAAGGUCUUCGGAUCGUAAAACUCUGUUAUUAGGGAAGAACAUAUGUGUAAGUAACUGUGCACGUCUUGACGGUACCUAAUCAGAAAGCCACGGCUAACUACGUG
rnacentral:rRNA from 1 species